UUUAUGGAGAGUUUGAUCCUGGCUCAGGAUGAACGCUGGCGGCGUGCCUAAUACAUGCAAGUCGAGCGAACGGAUAAGGAGCUUGCUCCUUUGAAGUUAGCGGCGGACGGGUGAGUAACACGUGGGUAACCUACCUAUAAGACUGGAAUAACUUCGGGAAACCGGAGCUAAUGCCGGAUAACAUUUGGAACCGCAUGGUUCUAAAGUAAAAGAUGGUUUUGCUAUCACUUAUAGAUGGACCCGCGCCGUAUUAGCUAGUUGGUAAGGUAACGGCUUACCAAGGCAACGAUACGUAGCCGACCUGAGAGGGUGAUCGGCCACACUGGAACUGAGACACGGUCCAGACUCCUACGGGAGGCAGCAGUAGGGAAUCUUCCGCAAUGGACGAAAGUCUGACGGAGCAACGCC
rnacentral:rRNA from 1 species